GGCCAAAUGCAGCAAACAUUCUGGUGAUGGGUGUGGAAAAUUCUGCAAAAGAAGGUGAUCCUGGAACAAUAUGCUUCUUCAGGGAAGGAGCUGCUGUGUUCUGGAAUGUGAAAGACCAAACUAUGAAGCAUGUGAUGCAAGUUCUAGAAAAACAUGAAAUUCAGCCCUAUGAAAUUGCAUUGGUUCACUGGGAAAAUGAAGAGCUUAACUACACAAAAACAGAGGGGCAGUCAAAACUUCACAGAGGGGAAAUCCGGUUAAAUUCAGAGUUGGAUUUAGAUAACGCCAUUCUAGAGAAAUUUGCUUUCUCAAAUGCCCUUUGCCUCUCAGUGAAACUUGCUAUCUGGGAAGCAUCACUGGAUAAAUUUGUUGAAUAUAUUCAGUCGAUUCCAGAGGCUUUAAAAGCUGGGAAGAGAGUGAAACUAUCUCAUGAAGAAGUUAUGCAGAAAAUGGGUGAACUCCUUGCCCUAAAACACCAUAUAAACUUGAGUUCAGACUUCUUGAUCACCUCUGAUUUCUACUGGGACAGAGAAAAUCUGGAAGAACUUUAUGAUAAAACUUGUCAGUUCCUCAGCAUUACUCGUAGAGUCAAGGUACUGUUUGAACUGGGACGAGUAUUUUUUCUGAUUAAGUGA